rnacentral:rRNA from 1 species
CAGGUUAAGCUGACGAGUGGCGAACGGGUGAGUAAUAUAUCGGAACGUGCCCAAUCGUGGGGGAUAACGCAGCGAAAGUUGUGCUAAUACCGCAUAAGAUCUACGGAUGAAAGCGGGGGAUCGCAAGACCUCGCGCGAAUGGAGCGGCCGAUAUCAGAUUAGCUAGUUGGCGGGGUAAAGGCCCACCAAGGCGACGAUCUGUAGCUGGUCUGAGAGGACGACCAGCCACACUGGGACUGAGACACGGCCCAGACUCCUACGGGAGGCAGCAGUGGGGAAUUUUGGACAAUGGGCGCAAGCCUGAUCCAGCAAUGCCGCGUGCAGGAUGAAGGCCUUCGGGUUGUAAACUGCUUUUGUACGGAGCGAAAAGGUACUCACUAAUACUGGGUGCCCAUGACGGUACCGUAAGAAUAAGCACCGGCUAACUACGUGCCAGCA